AUUGAACGCUGGCGGCAGGCUUAACACAUGCAAGUCGAGCGGAGAUGAGGUGCUUGCACCUUAUCUUAGCGGCGGACGGGUGAGUAAUGCUUAGGAAUCUGCCCAUUAGUGAGGGACAACAUUCCGGAAGGAAUGCUAAUACCGCAUACGCCCUACGGGGGAAAGCAGGGGAUCUUCGGACCUUGCGCUAAUAGAUGAGCCUAAGUCGGAUUAGCUAGUUGGUGGGGUAAAGGCCUACCAAGGCGACGAUCUGUAGCGGGUCUGAGAGGAUGGACCCGCCAACUGCGACGGAGACACGGGCCAGCGUCCUUCGUGAGGCAGCAGUGGGGAGUAUUGGUCAAUGGGGGGAGGCCCGAUCCAGCCAUGCCGGGUGGUUGAAGAAGGCCUUUUUGUUGGAAAGCACUUUAAGGCCGGAGGAGGCUCCCUGGGUUAAUACUUUAGGAUAGGGGACGUUACUCGCAGAAUAAGCACCGGCUAACUCUGUGCCAGCCGCCGCCGUAACAC
rnacentral:rRNA from 1 species